rnacentral:rRNA from 1 species
UGGGGAAUAUUGCACAAUGGGCGCAAGCCUGAUGCAGCCAUGCCGCGUGUAUGAAGAAGGCCUUCGGGUUGUAAAGUACUUUCAGCGGGGAGGAAGGGAGUAAAGUUAAUACCUUUGCUCAUUGACGUUACCCGCAGAAGAAGCACCGGCUAACUCCGUGCCAGCAGCCGCGGUAAUACGGAGGGUGCAAGCGUUAAUCGGAAUUACUGGGCGUAAAGCGCACGCAGGCGGUCUGUCAAGUCGGAUGUGAAAUCCCCGGGCUCGACCUGGGAACUGCAUUCGAAACUGGCAGGCUAGAGUCUUGUAGAGGGGGGUAGAAUUCCAGGUGUAGCGGUGAAAUGCGUAGAGAUCUGGAGGAAUACCGGUGGCGAAGGCGGCCCCCUGGACAAAGACUGACGCUCAGGUGCGAAAGCGUGGGGAGCAAACAGG